rnacentral:rRNA from 1 species
UACGAAGGGGGCUAGCGUUGCUCGGAAUUACUGGGCGUAAAGGGCGCGUAGGCGGAUAGUUUAGUCAGAGGUGAAAGCCCAGGGCUCAACCUUGGAAUUGCCUUUGAUACUGGCUAUCUUGAGUUCGGGAGAGGUGAGUGGAAUGCCGAGUGUAGAGGUGAAAUUCGUAGAUAUUCGGCGGAACACCAGUGGCGAAGGCGACUCACUGACCCGAUACUGACGCUGAGGCGCGAAAGCGUGGGGGGCAAACAGG